rnacentral:rRNA from 1 species
UACGGAGGGUGCAAGCGUUGUUCGGAAUUACUGGGCGUAAAGAGCGUGUAGGCGGCUGACCAAGUCCGGUGUGAAAGCCCGGGGCUUACCCCCGGAAGUGCGCUGGAAACUGGUCGGCUAGAGUAUGGGAGAGGGAAGUGGAAUUCCUGGUGUAGCGGUGAAAUGCGUAGAUAUCAGGAGGAACACCGGCGGCGAAGGCGGCUUCCAGGACCAAUAAUGACGUUGAGACGCGAAAGCGUGGGGAGCAAACAGG